rnacentral:rRNA from 1 species
GGAGUUAGCCGGUGCUUCUUCUGCGAGUAACGUCACAGAUGUAAGGUAUUAACUUACACCCUUUCCUCCUCGCUGAAAGUGCUUUACAACCCGAAUGCCUUCUUCACACACGCGGCAUGGCUGCAUCAGGGUUUCCCCCAUUGUGCAAUAUUCCCCACUGCUGCCUCCCGUAGGAGUCUGGGCCGUGUCUCAGUCCCAGUGUGGCUGAUCAUCCUCUCAGACCAGCUAGGGAUCGUCGCCUAGGUGAGUCUUUACCUCACCUACUAGCUAAUCCCACCUGGGCUUAUCCAUCAGCGCAAGGCCCGAAGGUCCCCUGCUUUCCCCCGUAGGGCGUAUGCGGUAUUAGCAGUCGUUUCCAACUGUUAUCCCCCACAAAUGGGCAAAUUCCCAGGCAUUACUCACCCGUCCGCCGCUCGUCAUCUUCAAAAGCAAGCUUUUGAAAUGUUACCGCUCGACUUGCAUGUGUUAGGCCUGCCGCCAGCGUUCAAUCUGAGCCAGAAUCGAACCCUGA